UACGUAGGCAGCGAGCGUUGUUCGGAGUUACUGGGCGUAAAGGGUGUGUAGGCGGUUGUUUAAGUUUGGUGUGAAAUCUCCCGGCUCAACUGGGAGGGUGCGCCGAAUACUGAAUGACUAGAGUGCGGGAGAGGAAAGUGGGAUUCCUGGUGUAGCGGUGAAAUGCGUAGAGAUCGGCAGGAACACCCAGGGGGAAACCAGCCGACUGGGCAUCUACUGACGCUGAGGUGCGAGAGCGUGGGGAGCGAACCGG
rnacentral:rRNA from 1 species